rfam:Dipodomys ordii contig_17426, whole genome shotgun sequence.
GGUGGCUUAGUGGUAGAGUGCUUGCCUAACAUGCAUGAAGCCCUGGGUUCGAUUCCUCAGUACCA